UGGAAGGCCUCCUUCAUGCCAGGCAUUUUCCAGGUUAUCCUAUUUAAUCUUCACAACAAUUCUAUAGGAAGGGAUGCUUAUCUCUGCUUUGGAGAGGAGAAACAGGCCAGAGGGUUUAUGGAACAUGUGCAAUAUCAUGCAGAAUGUUGACAGUGAAGCCAGGGUCAAAACUCAGGUCUGCCUGAGUCCAAGUUCAAUUCCAUAGACAUGGUGCUAACAUCCUACUGGGUGCCAGGCAGUAUGCUUUAGGGGCAUAGGUGCCUCCCUAUUGUCAAGGAUUUUGAGAUCAGAUUUGAGGACCCUUUUUUUUGGUAGGUCUAUAUUUUUCUUACAGCCACUCUCCAUUUUAAGCACAUCGUGAGUGGACUUUUGGAGUCUGAUCUAUCGAGCUGGGUAUGUUUGGAAACCUACAGAACAGUAGCCACAGAAAGACUAUGUGAGACAGAGUCCUAGCCUAUCUGUGCGGCCAGUCGAACCUCAUGUGUUUGCUGCUUUCAUUUCCCCUUGGCUCAGGAAACGAUGGUUUGGUUUUGCAAAGGAAGGCUGGGGACUUCUGCCAGCUUGCUAACAGCCUUGCCCCAUUCAGAUGCAUCGAACUCACAGAACAUCACUCCCCAGCUGCCGGCCCGCGGUUCGGAGAGUGCCUGAAUAGAAAACCACUCAUUUCCCUUCGCAAAAGAGGCGCCCAAAGCAGAUAUUUCAAUAUAUUCCAAUUUAGCCGAGGGAAGCCAGAACAUGGAUGUUGUUGCCAAGGAAACCACCUCGUCCUCCUGUGUGCUGUGCAUACGUGUAUCACUUCAUCUCUCUGCUCUCCAAGAGAAAUAGUAAGGGGACAAUGAAAACCACCUAUGAUGUGGCAAAGGCUCUAGGACCGUGUCAUCUGCUGAAGCUCCAGUCCCUGUGCUGCCUCUCCUGAGCGGCAUCUGUGAUCGCAAACAAAAGGCUCCUUGGGCUUCACGCUCUGCUUUCUUUGUAAGUGGUACUUAUCCCCCUCUACCUCCCAGCCUUCUUCUGACCAGCUCCCUCUUCUUAUCGGUUUAUUUCCAUGAUGUUCUUCAUGGAUAGAAACAUGAACUUUUAGAACUGGGUGACCCAGGUUGGAAUCCAUCUCCACCACUUACUAGCUGUGUGACCUUGGAUAUGUUACUUAACUUUCUGUGCCUCAGUUUCCUUUUCUGUAAAAUGGGCAUAAUAAUAUCUAUCUAGCAUGAGUUCAGGUCCAAUUCCACAAGCAUGGUGCUAACAUCCUACUAGGUGCCAGGCACUGUGCUCUGGAAGCAUAGCUGUCUCCCUAUUGUCAAGGAUUUUGAGCAGAUCAGAUUUGAGGACUUUUUUUUGGUAGGUCUGUAUUUUUCUUACAGC
rnacentral:lncRNA from 13 species